rnacentral:tRNA from 1 species
GGACGCGUAGCUCAGCGGGAGAGCACUACGUUGACAUCGUAGGGGUCACAGGUUCAAUCCCUGUCACGCCCACCA